CUCCGGCAGCUUAGCAACUCCAUAAGCAGCAUCAGCAGAGGCGAAGACGAUUGAUAACACCACGCAGAAUAGAAAGACAACGUUGGAGAAUGUGUCCAUGGUCUUUGUUGUUCUAUAUCUUUGAAUCGAAUUUGGAUGGAUGGAAGAGUAUGGUGGAUGAUUGAUUACAUGUGAGCACGACGGAUGGUAAAAUUUCUUUUUGCAAUUUAGUAUUAAAUUAUAUUUUCUAGGGACCGCAAUUAAUUAAAUUUUACUAUUUUCUUCGAGGGACAACAGUUCAUUCGAUUUCAUCAUUAUUCUUUCUUAGAUGAUUUAAUCAAACUCAAAUGUUAAAAAAUGAGAAUUAUUAGGCUGUGGGUGUGGGAUCGGUAGCCUCGUCGCACACCGGGCCAACCCCUCGGCUUGCCGAGCUCGGCUCGGCAUCACGGUUAAUCUAUGCCGAGUUUUGUUGACCAAUGGGAAGGUGGGGCAGCCAACAACGUUUCAUUUCAUUAAAUUUUUCUUUCUCGCUUUAUUUUUUAAAACAAAAACCUCCUAUAAAUAAUACAACUUCGGUAGAAUUUCAUAUAUAUCCCUGCUAAGCAAUUAAAUAUCGUAUUUGUCUGGUCUAAACUUUAAGUAUCGUAUUCGUUGUUCCUAAUGUUUUUUCAUAUCAUAUAUACUCAAAUCUAUUUUUUUGUUAAUUUUAUUGAUUUAUAAUCCUUUUUUAUAAUCUUAAUUCAUUAUAAUUCAAAAUAAACACAUAAUGGACAAUAAUGCCCUUACUUGUAAACUCUAAUACUACCUCUCACAAUCCUGCAUUCCUAUUUCACGUGCAUGUUGGAGCAUGUUAAUUACGAUCGUUACUCCCCUGUUAGUACUUCCGAUCCAUUGCGUCUCCCCCUAUUAUUGCAUCACUUCCACACAUCAGAGGCGAUACAAAUCAAUGUCGAAAGAUCAUUCUCAAACAGAAGAUAAUACCCUUCAUGACACAUCAAAACCAAUAUGGAAGAGCAAGGCUACGUCUCCUAUAAUCAAAUAUCUUUAUGUGGAUAUCUUAAUUUUAAUUUAUUAAACUUUUACUAAAUUGAUGAUUGUUUCUCUAAUUAAUUUUCAGUUUCAGGAGUAUGCCAACAUCCAAGUUCUAAUUAAUUUUCAAUUUCGGCUAACAAAGAACAGUUGUAGGCAAAUAUAUUGCUUUGGCUCUCUCAAAAAUGUAUCCACAUUGACACAUGUUUAUACAAGUUAAGUCAACUACAUGAAGAAGUGACAAAAUGUUAUUCAUCAAAGAACAACCCAAAAUUUUCUGUUCUUUAUGUUGACAAGUAUGCACCAAAAAAAUCAUUUAUUGGGCUUGAUUCUAAUGAAAAGUUCAUGACUAUGCUUAGCAUGUAUGGAAACGAGAAACAAGUAACCAUUUAUGUGACAACAGAGAAAAACUUUGGCUCCAAUAACCAUACUAACCAUUUGUGUGCCAACAUAGACGAACCACAUGAUGAGUAUGAUGCGGACAUUUGUCCUAGUGAAGAAAACUAUCAUAGUCAUCUCAAUUCUGAUAAUGAAUACAAUCUAAUGGAUGAUGAUGAUGAAGUUCACUCAUUUAGUAAGAAUAGUAUAAGCAUGGAAGUCAGCUCAAAAUUUAAAAAUAUGGUUGAUUUUAGGAGAGCUUUGAACCACUGUCCAGUCACAAAUGAGCUUAACUACUACAUUAUGAAAAGUGACCCGACACGAUUCACAACAAGGUGUGAAUACCUAGAGUGCGAGUGGAGAAUCCAUGCUUUUAUUACACAAGAUGAAGUUACCUUUGAAGUUAUGAAAAUGGUAGAAGUACAUACUUACACUCGAAACAACAAGGGUAGAAAUAAGCGUCACUCAAGGAUGUAUUGCUAAUGUUGUUACUGACAAGUUGAAAUCUGAUGGGGAUGUCUCUCCAUAUGAGCAUAAAAAUUGGAUUAUGAAAACUUACAAUGUUGAUGUGCCAUACCAAAAAGUUUUUAGAGGGAAAGAGCAAGCUUAUACUGAUAUGUAUUGUGAGUGGGAAGACUCUUUCAUGAAGAUCGAUGAAUUUAGAGAAGAACUAUUACGAAGGAACGAAGGAAGCGUUGUUGAAAUUGACUUUGACAUAGUUGAUGGAAAGAAACUUUUCAAAAGGUUCUUUAUUUGUUUAGCAACUUGUUCUAGAGGGUUUGUUGUCGGUUGUCGUCCAUAUAUUGGUCUUGAUGCUUGUCAUUUAAAAGGACAGUUCGAUGGUGUACUAGCCGCUGCAACUGGUAUUAACGGUAACAAUUCUAUCUUUCCAAUAGCAUAUUGUGUUCUUGAAUCAAAAAACACACAAUCAUGUACAUGGUUUCUUGACUCACUCAAAAAAGAAAUUGGAACGCCAAAUGGUCUUGUUAUCUCAUCAGACAUGCAAAAAGGGUUAGAAGUGGCCAUGAUGAAUGUUUAUCCUAAUGUUGAGCAUAGAGAAUGUAUAAGGCACUUAUAUAGCAACUUCAAGAAGCACUUUCGUGGUGACUUCUUUAACAAGAAACUAUAGGCUUCCGCGAAAACCUAUCGUCCUACCAAGCAUGACAUAUUAUUUUAGGAAAUUACUGAUAAAAAUGAAGAUGCAAUUGCAUAUCUAAAUACCAACCACAACAAAACAUGGAGUAGAAGCAAUUUUGGUACUACUUCCAAGUGUGAUUACAUUACUAAUAAUAUUUCUGAAACAUUUAAUUCUUGUAUUGGUAAAUUGGGCUAUAAACUCGUGCUUGAUAUCAUUGAUGCAAUUAGGGAAAAGAUUAUGAAACGGUUUGAUAUGAAAAGGAAUGUGGUGAAUACAUGGAAUGACACAUUGGUUCCUAUUGCUAAAAACCAUUUCAAUGACAUCGCUAAUAACUUGGGUGAAUAUAAAGUUACUAGAAGUUGUGACAAUCAAGAUGAAGUGAAGUACAAUGGAACAUGUUGAGAGGUUAACCUAGAUGAAAGAAAAUGUAGUUGUCGAAUGUUUUAAGUUUAAGGCCGACCAUGUGUACAUGCAACGAAUUUUAUUGAUUUUACAAGGGAUGCUAACUGGCACAAAUACGUUGAUCCUUAUUUCACUAUAGAUAACUUUAAAGUUGCAUAUGCUUUUCAAAUUGCUCCGAUGCCCAUACAGGAUCAAUGGGCGCAAAAAAAUGGGGAGAAAAUAUAUCCACCUCUAAAAGAAGACACAAGUGUCUGCGAUGCAGUGAGUAUGAACACCGUGUAAAGACAUGUAAAAAUCCAGCAUCUCAAAUUCCGAUCGAAGUGAAACAUCCACAUCUAAAAGGAGACGUGAAAAGAAUACAAAAUCGCAUGGUGAUUUGGGAGUUUUUGGGGUCUACAUGAAAGCUCAUAAAUUAGUUGAUCCUUUUGACAAGUUUGUUAACUUUAGUUGCAAAUUUUCUUAAUUAGGAUUCAAUUGAUGGAUUCUUUUGUUAGUACGUGACAUAAAUAAGCAUUUUAAUAUAGUUUUUCCUUAAUG